CCUGCGGAGGGAUCAUUACAGAGUUGCAAAACUCCCUAAACCAUUGUGAACGUUACCUACAAACCGUUGCUUCGGCGGGCGGCUCCGGGCCCGCCCGGUGCCCCUCGGCCCCCCCAGCGGGGCGCCCGCCGGAGGAAACCCAACUCUUGAUAUCAUGGCCUCUCUGAGUCUUCUGUACUGAAUAAGUCAAAACUUUCAACAACGGAUCUCUUGGUUCUGGCAUCGAUGAAGAACGCAGCGAAAUGCGAUAAGUAAUGUGAAUUGCAGAAUUCAGUGAAUCAUCGAAUCUUUGAACGCACAUUGCGCCCGCCAGUAUUCUGGCGGGCAUGCCUGUUCGAGCGUCAUUUCAACCAUCAAGCCCAGGGCUUGUGUUGGGGACCUGCGGCUGCCGCAGGCCCUGAAAACCAGUGGCGGGCUCGCUGUCACACCGGGCGUAGUAGAUUUUAUCUCGCUCAGGGCGUGCUGCGGGUUCCGGCCGUUAAAAAGCCUUUUUUACCCAAGGUUGACCUCGGAUCAGGUAGGAAUACCCGCUGAACUUAAGCAUAUCAAU
rnacentral:rRNA from 1 species